GCCAUGCCACCCUGAACACACCCAAUCUUAGAAAGUAAGUAGGAUUGAACCUGGUUAGGCCAUGGAUGGGAGACUGUGGGAAUACCAGGUGC
rnacentral:rRNA from 1 species